GCUUGGGUAGCUCAGUUAGUUAGAGCGCUUCCCUGAAGAGGAAGAGGUCCCCGGCGCAAUUCCGGGCCCAAGCACCG
rnacentral:tRNA from 1 species